CCAAGGAGUCUAGCAUGUGCGCAAGUCAUUGGGAAUCACAAAACCUAAAGGCGCAAUGAAAGUAAAGGUUCGCUUAAGCGAACUGAGGGAUGAUGGAGCGCGUCUGCGGACGCGUUCUCGCAAUCCCGGGGCGUCUCACUCUCAUUGCGAGAAGUGGCGCACCAAGAGCGUACACGCUGGGACCCGAAAGAUGGUGAACUAUGCCUGGUCAGGUCGAAGUCAGGGGAAACCCUGAUGGAGGACCGUAGCGAUUCUGACGUGCAAAUCGAUCGUCGGAACUGGGUAUAGGGGCGAAAGACUAA
rnacentral:rRNA from 2 species